GACGAACGCUGGUGGCGUGCUUAACACAUGCAAGUCGAACGGAAAGGCCCCUUUGGGGGUGCUCGAGUGGCGAACGGGUGAGUAACACGUGAGUAACCUGCCCUUGACUUCGGGAUAACUUCAGGAAACUGGGGCUAAUACCGGAUAGGAAUCCUUGCUGCAUGGUGGGGGUUGGAAAGCUUCGGCGGUUUUGGAUGGACUCGCGGCUUAUCAGCUUGUUGGUGGGGUAGUGGCUUACCAAGGCUUUGACGGGUAGCCGGCCUGAGAGGGCGACCGGCCACAUUGGGACUGAGAUACGGCCCAGACUCCUAAGGGAGGCAGCAGUGGGGAAUAUUGCACAAUGGGCGGAAGCCUGAUGCAGCAACGCCGCGUGCGGGAUGACGGCCUUCGGGUUGUAAACCGCUUUCAGCAGGGGCGAAGCUUGUGGUGACGGUACCUGCAGAAGAAGCACCGGCUAACUACGUG
rnacentral:rRNA from 1 species